GCAAUUAUACGGCGAAACUGCGAAUGGCUCAUUAUAUAAGUUAUCGUUUAUUUGAUAGCACCUUACUACUUGGAUAACCGUGGUAAUUCUAGAGCUAAUACAUGCUGAAAAUCCCGACUUCGGAAGGGAUGUAUUUAUUAGAUUAAAAACCAAUGCCCUCUGGGCUCUCUGGUGAUUCAUGAUAACUUCUCGAAUCGCAUGGCCUUGCGCCGGCGAUGGUUCAUUCAAAUUUCUUCCCUAUCAACUUUCGAUGUUUGGGUAGUGGCCAAACAUGGUGGCAACGGGUAACGGAGGGUUAGGGCUCGGCCCCGGAGAAGGAGCCUGAGAAACGGCUACUACAUCCAAGGAAGGCAGCAGGCGCGCAAAUUACCCAAUCCCGACGCGGGGAGGUAGUGACAAUAAAUACUGAUACAGGGCUCUUUUGGGUCUUGUAAUUGGAAUGAGUACAAUUUAAAUCCCUUAACGAGGAACAAUUGGAGGGCAAGUCUGGUG
rnacentral:rRNA from 1 species